rnacentral:rRNA from 1 species
GUUAAGCGACUAAGCGUACACGGUGGAUGCCCUGGCAGUCAGAGGCGAUGAAGGACGUGCUAAUCUGCGAUAAGCGUCGGUGAGGUGAUAUGAACCGUUAUAACCGGCGAUUUCCGAAUGGGGAAACCCAGUGUGUUUCGACACACUAUCAUUAACUGAAUCCAUAGGUUAAUGAGGCGAACCGGGGGAACUGAAACAUCUAAGUACCCCGAGGAAAAGAAAUCAACCGAGAUUCCCCCAGUAGCGGCGAGCGAACGGGGAGGAGCCCAGAGCCUGAAUCAGUGUGUGUGUUAGUGGAAGCGUCUGGAAAGGCGUGCGAUACAGGGUGACAGCCCCGUACACAAAAAUGCACAUAUUGUGAGCUCGAUGAGUAGGGCGGGACACGUGGUAUCCUGUCUGAAUAUGGGGGGACCAUCCUCCAAGGCUAAAUACUCCUGACUGACCGAUAGUGAACCAGUACCGUGAGGGAAAGGCGAAAAGAACCCCGGCGAGGGGAGUGAAAAAGAACCUGAAACCGUGUACGUACAAGCAGUGGGAGCCUCUUUAUGGGGUGACUGCGUACCUUUUGUAUAAUGGGUCAGCGACUUAUAUUCUGUAGCAAGGUUAACCGAAUAGGGGAGCCGAAGGGAAACCGAGUCUUAACUGGGCGUUAAGUUGCAGGGUAUAGACCCGAAACCCGGUGAUCUAGCCAUGGGCAGGUUGAAGGUUGGGUAACACUAACUGGAGGACCGAACCGACUAAUGUUGAAAAAUUAGCGGAUGACUUGUGGCUGGGGGUGAAAGGCCAAUCAAACCGGGAGAUAGCUGGUUCUCCCCGAAAGCUAUUUAGGUAGCGCCUCGUGAAUUCAUCUCCGGGGGUAGAGCACUGUUUCGGCAAGGGGGUCAUCCCGACUUACCAACCCGAUGCAAACUGCGAAUACCGGAGAAUGUUAUCACGGGAGACACACGGCGGGUGCUAACGUCCGUCGUGAAGAGGGAAACAACCCAGACCGCCAGCUAAGGUCCCAAAGUCAUGGUUAAGUGGGAAACGAUGUGGGAAGGCCCAGACAGCCAGGAUGUUGGCUUAGAAGCAGCCAUCAUUUAAAGAAAGCGUAAUAGCUCACUGGUCGAGUCGGCCUGCGCG